CAGCGCUGAGCCGCAUGCCGACACUACUUCGUAGUGUGAGGACCCGGGAUUCCGGACCGCGGCAGCUUUGGGAUUUGGGGGCUCGCCUAAAAACCGCGAAGAGACUUCGGGGCUGGGCCUGGGGCUGGCGGAGCUCGAGCUCCGCGCCGGGAUCAGAGCAUGCGGCGGCGCUAGGGCGCGUGAAAGCGGACCACUACCAGCUCGUCUACACCUGCAAGGUCUGUGGGACUCGGUCAUCCAAGCACAUCUCAAAGUUGGCCUAUCACCAGGGUGUGGUCAUCGUGACUUGCCCUGGUUGCCAGAACCACCACAUCAUCGCAGACAACCUAAGCUGGUUCUCUGACCUGAAGGGGAAGAGGUGAGGCCCGCUGGGAGGGGUAGGAGACUGUAGGAUUGUGUGCCUUUAUGAGCCUGGGUCCAUCGCCUCUCCUACCUGGAUAGCCCAGCUUCCUCCACGUGGAUGAUCUGGAAGCGGUUGAAUUUGAACUUUAGAUAAACUAUAAUCGGCCUCGAAUAUGGCAAACUAGUUCUGUGGCUCUACCGCUCUCGCUGCCUGACCUCUGAUCUCUCCAGUGGCCUCAUAACUUUCUAGUGGAGGCUUUUUGUGUUCUGCUAACUCAGGGCAGAUGGAAGGGUAUGUGUCAGACUGUGAACUGGCACUGGCCUUCAGUUGGUAUUCUCACCUUGGGGAGAGCAGUGGGGAGAGCCAGGAGUCAGUUCGGAGGAGAUUGGUCUAUGGCUAGGACUGAUGGUCACUGAG
rnacentral:lncRNA from 1 species